UUUUUUUGUGUAACGUGAUACUUUGUUUUCACUGGAGGAGAUAAGGGUUGGACUUGAGUUGAAUUAAUAUGGGGCACAACAGAAGCGUCUGACCCAUUUGAGAUUCUUAGGGGAGGUGUACAACUACGAGCACAUAGAUUCGUCUGUGAUAUUCGAGACGCUUUACUUAACUCUUUCGUAUGGUCAUGGUACUUCAGAGCAAGAGGUACUGGAUCCGCCCGAAGAUUUUUUCCGUGUCAGGAUGGUUAUCAUUCUUCUGGAAAAUGUGGACACUAUUUUGAUCGAGGUUCUUCAAGCUCUCAUGGAUCGAGAUUGUACCUGAGAGGCAAGGGAGUGUCUGAGAGUAAUAGAUAGCAAGAGAGGAGAGAAUGAACGGUGGUAACGAGGUGGGAGCUUCAUCCCUAUUGGAUUAGAGACUAUAUAUCUCAGGUAUCUGGUGAUGACGAAGUAGAUUCCGCAAGGACUGCAGUUGAGAAAUAUGUUACCAAGAACAGCGUGAGUUAAUCCAAAAAUAUUGGCACGAAAAGGCAUAAAGCUCUUGCAACUUUCCAACAAAGAUACAUGUGGCAUCGGUGAUGCUGAUUAUCACCAGGAGACAAGCUUCUUCUCAGAGUUAGGGGAGCUCCACUUGCUCCUGUUCAUGUCUCCUCCUCUGAUCCUUUGCCUCGCCUUAGUAUCAAAAGCACACCAAUCAUUAGUCUCUCUCUCUCACUCUCUACAAAGAUUACACCUUUUUCAAUUUUUGUUGUUGGAAAGUGACGUCUGUUUAACGUUCUUGCAGGAGACAUCGUCUGUGCAGUAUAUACUUCAACAGUACACUGCUGCUUUCGGUGGACUGAAGCUUCAAAACUAUCAAAAAAUGCUUAUGCUAUGGGGAAGCUCAAGAUGAUCACUUCUGAGCUUUAGACCGGAACCCGUCCAAGGCUGCGAGUGGAGGUAUCGUUCUGUGGCAGAUGAAUCCAGACAUAGAUAUUAACAGUUUUGCAAUGCUCUCUUCUUCUAUUUGGAUCAUUUGAUUUGAUGUUUUUCCUUAUGCGUGUUGAGAGUCCUUUUUGAUUUCUUUAGGUUAUCCUGUUUAUUGUGGGACCUGAGUUGCAAGUUAUCAACAAUUCUGAGAAAGAUAUUAUUCUUAAAGUUGAUAAACUUCUGAAUUUGACACUGAAUCAAGAUCAAGAAAAACCUACUUUUGUAGUCCUUUAAUUAAUGGCUUAUAGUGUGUUUGCUUAUAGUGCAUGUUUGAUGAUUUCAGGCAGAGAAGAAAGUAGACACUAUCUUUUUAGGCAAUUCCUGUUAAGUGGUACUGAAACAACUUCAGUUUCACUUGAGGUAAAAAGGAAAAUAGAACCUUAUAAAUUUUCUCCAUGUUGAAGUCUAAGCCAGUUGAGCUUAUAUAUGGUAAAAACCCAAAGAGUCUAUGAGAAGAGGAAAGAAAGGCGAACAUAACAUAACAAAUGAUUUUUCAAAGAUUCUCUUCUUCUUGUGUUCUUCUCAUUCUUGACCUUAUUUGUAUUCUUGAUUAUAAAUCACAGAAAGUUUACAUUUAAAAAAUUAUUGGAUUUUCAUUUUUAA